rnacentral:rRNA from 1 species
UACGAAGGGGGCUAGCGUUGCUCGGAAUCACUGGGCGUAAAGCGCACGUAGGCGGCGUCUUAAGUCAGGGGUGAAAUCCUGGAGCUCAACUCCAGAACUGCCUUUGAUACUGAGAUGCUUAAGUCCGGGAGAGGUGAGUGGAACUGCGAGUGUAGAGGUGAAAUUCGUAGAUAUUCGGAGGAACACCAGUGGCGAAGGCGGCUCGCUGGACUGAUACUGACGCUGAGGUGCGAAAGCGUGGGGAGCAAACAGG